UCUCAUUUGCUUCAAUUUGCCGUAAGAUCAAAUACUCUCCUGAGUCCUUCUUUUCUCUCCACGAACUUGCCAAGAAUUCUGGGAUCAACUCUAUUUCCAUAAAACAGGAAGAGAGAAAAGGAAAAUUAUAAGGCCCCUUGGGGUCACUGGAUUUUGCACCAUCAGAUACAUUUUGAUAUUAGAAGAUAAAGAGAUUGGCCCGAAACUGGGAUGGAGGAGAAGCAGCCAAAGAAGUUGUUCUGUUUCUUAAGUGACUUUGAAGGUUAUACACCUUUAAUACUCAUUUUGAGGAGUAAAGAAUUUAGACAUCCAAUUAAA
rnacentral:lncRNA from 1 species